rnacentral:rRNA from 1 species
UACGUAGGGUCCAAGCGUUGUCCGGAUUUAUUGGGCGUAAAGAGCUCGUAGGCGGCUCAGUAAGUCGGAUGUGAAAACUCGGGGCUCAACCCCGAGACGCCAUCCGAUACUGCUGUGGCUUGAGUCUGGUAGGGGAACACGGAAUUCCUGGUGUAGCGGUGAAAUGCGCAGAUAUCAGGAGGAACGACCGAUGGCGAAGGCAGUGUUCUGGGCCAGUACUGACGCUGAGGAGCGAAAGCGUGGGUAGCAAACAGG